rnacentral:lncRNA from 1 species
UUCCUUUCUCAGUUUUAGCCAGCUGCAGUUUUUAUUUCUGCUCUUAACUACGUACUGAGGUUGCUUUUAGAAGUGAUUGCAUAGAGACAACCUGAUCUGCGACACACAUCUUGGGUAACUCCUUGAUGAGAAAAGACUGAAUCUCAUGCUCUACCACAGCCAGUUAUGUAUUUCUGUUGGUUUCUGAUCAAGCAAAUGUGUGAAAUUCAAAACAGGAGUGCUGACAGCUAUUGUGCCGAUUGGGGAAUAGUGAGAUACACAGGCUCUGAAAAUAACAAUAUCACGUCUUUCUGCACUUGUUGAGGUGGAGGCUGCCAAUUGAUGGCCUGCAGCUCAGACGCAGCCUGUUCCUGAAUGCUUCUGUUCUGUUACAUCAUAGAAAAACGUUUCUUGUCCACUGCAGCAGUCAAUAAGUUGGGUGUCCUGCCUGAGCUGGCUGAAGGCAUUGAACAUACGAAAGCUCGUAAGGAAUUUGAAGGGACUGGCUGCAUCAGCUUCCAGGCUGAGCUGCACCACUGGAACUGGAGCUCGCUGCUGAUCACUGAUAGGCAUUUUGGAAAGGUCAGAUCUGAGAGCCGCUCUUCACAGACGCAUGAAGGAAAACACGAGUGCUUUUUUUCUUUGAAAUUAUAUGGAUUUGCUGCUCUUAAAAGCAGGGUCGGUGUGUGA